rnacentral:rRNA from 1 species
UACGGGGGGGGCGAGGCGUUGUUCGGAAUUACUGGGCGUAAAGGGUUUGUAGGUGGUCUGCUAAGUCAGACGUGAAAAUCCCUCAGCUUAACUGGGGAACUGCGUCUGAUACUGGCGGACUUGAGGACAGGAGAGGAACGGCGGAAUUCCAGGUGUAGCGGUGAAAUGCGUAGAUAUCUGGAGGAACACCCGGUGGCGAAGGCGGGCGUUCUGGACUGUUUCUGACACUGAAAAACGAA